GGAGAAGUUGCCGGGCAGCACUUCAGGCCCAGCAGAGGGUGACAGUGAUGACUCUACAGCCAUGGCAACUGUGUCUGUGGUUUUUCUCUGGCAGCAGCGUUUGGGGAGGAUCACCACCCAGGAGUCUGUAACAUUACUGGAGUGUGGGUAGAGACGAUGCCCACUCGUCCAACUGUGGCCCACUAGAAUCUCUUGCUCCUGCCUCCAGGUGCCUGCCUGUUUGAGUUCCUGCCCAGGCUUCCUUCAGUGGACUGUGACCCAGAGUAAGGGAGCUAAAUAUGCCCUUUGCUCCGCAAGCUGCUUUUUGUCACAGCGCUUUAUCACAGCAAUCGGAACCCUGAGUAAGACAAUGUCAGAUCUUUUUCCUUCUUUUUAAUGACCUCCUCCCCCAUCACUUUGGCCAUGUUAUUCCCGCAAGCUCUCCAGUUCCCACUGUUUGCACGACAGUUGCAGUGUUUCUCUUUGGUUGAACUUUGAGAGCUGGUUGCUUUCUUGGCGGGUUGAGUGUUGUCUGCCCUUUCCAUCUAGUGUGAGCUGGUUUGUCAUGUCUCACGUGGUUUUCUUAGUUCUCUCUUGUUCACUUAUUCCUUUUAUAGAAUUUGUUUUCCCACACUUUUAUUUGAGACCAUAUUUAUUCCUUCUUUGCUUUUGA